AACGAACGCUGGCGGCAUGCCUAACACAUGCAAGUCGAACGAAGGCUUCGGCCUUAGUGGCGCACGGGUGCGUAACGCGUGGGAAUCUGCCCCUUGGUUCGGAAUAACAGCGAGAAAUUGCUGCUAAUACCGGAUGAUGACUUCGGUCCAAAGAUUUAUCGCCAAGGGAUGAGCCCGCGUAAGAUUAGGUAGUUGGUGGGGUAAUGGCCUACCAAGCCGACGAUCUUUAGCUGGUCUGAGAGGAUGAUCAGCCACACUGGGACUGAGACACGGCCCAGACUCCUACGGGAGGCAGCAGGGGGGAAUAUUGGACAAUGGGCGAAAGCCUGAUCCAGCAAUGCCGCGUGAGUGAUGAAGGCCUUAGGGUUGUAAAGCUCUUUGACCAGGGAUGAUAAUGACAGUACCUGGAGAAUAAGCUCCGGCUAACUCCGUGCCAGCAGCCGCCGUAACAC
rnacentral:rRNA from 1 species